CGAAGUGAACGCACCGCUGGUGUUCGGGUUGUGAUGCCAAUUGCAUUGCCCGGUAGCUACGUGCGGAAUAGAUAAGUGCUGAAAGCAUCUAAGUACGAAACUAGCCUCGAGAUGAGUUUUCCCUGAUGAGAAUCAGUAAGGUCCGUUUGAGACUAAGACGUAGAUAGGUCAGGUGUGUAAGUGUAGUGAUACAUUGAGCUAACUGAUACUAAUGAACCGAGAGUCUUAACCUUACAAC
rnacentral:rRNA from 1 species